rnacentral:rRNA from 1 species
GAUGAACGCUGGCGGCGUGCCUAAUACAUGCAAGUCGAGCGAACAGACGAGGAGCUUGCUCCUCUGACGUUAGCGGCGGACGGGUGAGUAACACGUGGAUAACCUACCUAUAAGACUGGGAUAACUUCGGGAAACCGGAGCUAAUACCGGAUAACAUGUUGAACCGCAUGGUUCAACAGUGAAAGACGGUCUUGCUGUCACUUAUAGAUGGAUCCGCGCCGCAUUAGCUAGUUGGUAAGGUAACGGCUUACCAAGGCAACGAUGCGUAGCCGACCUGAGAGGGUGAUCGGCCACACUGGAACUGAGACACGGUCCAGACUCCUACGGGAGGCAGUAGUAGGGAAUCUUCCGCAAUGGGCGAAAGCCUGACGGAGCAACGCCGCGUGAGUGAAGAAGGUCUUUGGAUCGUAAAACUCUGUUAUUAGGGAAGAACAAAUGUGUAAGUAACUAUGCACGUCUUGACGGUACCUAAUCAGAAAGCCACGGCUAACUACGUG